GACGAACGCUGGCGGCGUGCCUAACACAUGCAAGUCGAGCGGAGUCGAUCGACGGAAGCCUUCGGGCGGAAGAUGGUUGACUUAGCGGCGGAUGGGUGAGUAACGCGUGGGCAACCUGCCUCGAAGACCGGGAUAACAGUCCGAAAGGGCUGCUAAUACCGGAUGUGGUCAAGGAUCCGCAUGGAUUUUUGAUUAAAGGGGAAACCCGUUUCGAGAUGGGCCCGCGUCCUAUCAGCUAGUUGGUGAGGUAAAAGCUCACCAAGGCGACGACGGGUAGCCGGCCUGAGAGGGUGACCGGCCACACUGGGACUGAGACACGGCCCAGACUCCUACGGGGGGCAGCAGUGGGGGAUCUUGCACAAUGGGCGAAAGCCUGACCCAGCGACGCCGCGUGGAGGAAGAAGUCCUUCGGGCGUAAACUCCUGGACUGGGGACGAGGAAGGACGGUACCCCAGGUAGAAGGGACGGCUAACUACGUG
rnacentral:rRNA from 1 species